ACGGGUCAAAGAUCGAACGAACAAAAGGAUGAAGAAACGUGUAGUGCUACCUCAUGCUCUUGUCUCCCGUGCAACGGCGGUUGCUGCUACCGAACACGCAGCACGUCGGACGCGCCCGACUGGGCGACUUGACCCCCUUCCGCCGUCUCCUCGACAGGCCCUCGGUAGAUCUGCGCCACUUCGCCUACCAGCUCCUCAUGGCGUCCGGCCACCACUGGUACCUCCCGCGGUCGGACUGGUAGCGGUACCAGCGGCGCCACCGGCGGCCGUCGCUGUGGUCCCACCUCGAGCUGCUCAGGCGGGCGCCGGCGCAGUUCCUCUCGUCGCUGACCCAGUACUUGUCGUACCGGUUACCUUGGCUGUCGAUGCCGCAGUGGUGACCGAAGCCGCGGUGGAGAGUGGCCUCCUGGUUCCUCCCGCCGCGAGACGUCUCCCUCGAGUAGUCUAAGGAAUUACGGCCUCGCAAGCCGUUACCACCGGUGCUUGUACAAGACGGACGACGUCGCUGUUCCCGCCGGUACGAGCAGGCACAGUUGUGAGACGAGGUCCCCAUGAGGCCGUAGGCGAAACUCUAGGAGCUCUGCCAACGACGCGAAGAGUUGCGGUUGCACUGUGGUACGGACGGCGAGGCCCCGUGCUAGUGGCGGAGGCCGCUGGAGCAGGGCGAAAGGAUAUAGCGUCCGGACCACUGACCAGCCCGUUUGAGGCACCGGUGACGAGGUCUACCGUCGUUCCAAUUGCGACGCCUCCGCAAGUUCUAGCGGCCGUAGGUCGUACCGAAGAAACUCGACGUCGGGUUCCUCCCCGAACGGUACCACUUACCGUGCCGUCACCCGAGACCCGAACGUAGGUACCACGAAAAGCUCCGAUUGUAGGAGUCGGAGGAACGGCUCCAAGAUAGCCGACAGAAGACGCUCCAGUACUUGCCGUUCGGCCUCAUGUGGCUGGUGAACUGGGUGUUCGACUUCGUGGUGGGACCCGUCUAGCUCCGGCGGCGGUAGUACCUCGUGUAGGAACUUCCUUCGAGGAUAUACCGUGAGCGCUUCUUCGAGCCACUCGAACUGGGCAACUACUUCGGUUUCGUUCUAUCCAUACGCGAGGCGUGUAGCGGCGUCACCGAACCGGGGGUCUAACUCCAUUAGGCACGACGUUGGUUCAGCUAACUCUCCCUCUAGUUGAGACAGUUGCUGUUGGGUGAGUAGCUGCAGAGAGCACCGUUCCGGUAGGUGCCCCCGUUGAAGGUCCCAUGCGGAUAGCCGCACAGGUACCUGUUGUGGUCCGAACGUUAACGACGCUAGCCCUUCGAGUACAAACGGGUCAAGAGCCUCGACCACUUGCUGGAGAUGUUGUUGCCAAACGGAAGGUUGGAGAGGCCGCCCGCGUUAGGCUCAAACCUGAUACCGAAGUUCCCUCGACUCUAACGGUACCGGAGUAUGACGAGACUCGAGGUCAAGAAUCCGUUGGGCCACUGGUUGGUACAGGUCUCGCGGCUCGUUGUGUUAGUUCUACAGUUGAGAGAACCAGAGUAGAGGAGGUCCUUCUGGCGACUCCGGUAACUGUAUGAGUUCGAGUACAGGAGGUGUAAGUACCAGCGGAACACGGUCCGGUAGCUGGAGGCGGUAGACCUCCUCUUACAAUUCCUACGGCAGUUCUCGACACACUUCUACUGCCGGUCCUUCUGUAACUCGUGGUGGUUGUUACCCGUGGAGGUGUUACGCGCUAAGACGCUCUUCCUGGACGACGAGUGCUAACUGGCACUCCGCCACAAGCGCAUACGUCUGCUGGGAACGUCGCGGUUGAUGGGCGACUACGUCUUCUACGCACGCCAAGAGCACCUCGUGCGGAACCGGUUACCACUCCGGCUCGUGCUGUACCUCUGUAGACAGAAACGGUUCGAACGGCGGAAGCUCGUCCUCGAGGCACGUCACAAUGGUUUCCUCCAACUCCGACGGGCCAGGAGGCACCUCUUGCCGUGGCGGUGUGUCGUAUUGGCAUAGUGGCCUACGGCCAGUAUGGGCGAGAUGUCCAAGCACGCGUUCCUCGAACCCUGACUCAUGAACUGACCCCUCUUCUGUGCCAGAGGACCCCUUCUCCACCUGUUCCACAAACAGCGGUACUUGGUCCCGUUCGUGUAGCUGCGCGACGACCUCACGGAUCUUCUCACCUUGCCACUCGGGAACGGAGAGACGACUUGUCUCCUAGUUCUUUGACUUCUCUUCUGACACACGUCUUCCGAGACAUAGAAGAAUCGACUAUUCACCAUUAUAAAAAAGUUAACAUAAAAGAAUUCUUAGCUACAAAACACCCUACCUUGUAAGAAAGCCUCGACGGUACAACAAAGGUUUUUAACGUUGACGUAUUGAACAUGUUGAAGAUACUACAUUCAAUAUCUUCCCAUGACACAUACUAUUAUAAACACUAUUUACAUAACCAGAAAAAAAUGUUGUCAACAGACCACCUCUAGUUGUGGCUUGUCCUAAUUAUACUACACUACGGAAGAUAAUU
rnacentral:rRNA from 1 species